ACGAACGCUGGCGGCGUGCCUAACACAUGCAAGUCGAACGGAGCUGAGGAGCUUGCUCCUUAGCUUAGUGGCGGACGGGUGAGUAACGCGUGAGUAACCUGCCUCUGAGAGGGGAAUAACGUUCUGAAAAGAACGCUAAUACCGCAUAACGUAUUGAAGCCGCAUGACUUUGAUACCAAAGAUUUUAUCGCUCGGAGAUGGACUCGCGUCCGAUUAGCUUGUUGGUGAGGUAACGGCUCACCAAGGCGACGAUCGGUAGCCGGACUGAGAGGUUGAUCGGCCACAUUGGGACUGAGACACGGCCCAGACUCCUACGGGAGGCAGCAGUGGGGGAUAUUGCGCAAUGGGGGCAACCCUGAACCGCAGCAACGCCGCGUGAAGGAUGAAGGUUUUCGGAUUGUAAACUUCUUUUAUCAGGGACGAAAUCUGACGGUACCUGAUGAAUAAGCUCCGGCUAACUACGUGCCAGCCGCAGC
rnacentral:rRNA from 1 species